GCCAAGUAUGCCUGACUCGCUAUAAAAGGGGCUGCUUGCCCCCUCUUCGCUCUCUUACUCUCUCUUCUCUUUCUCCUCUUCUCUUGCUCUUGCUCUCUUGCCCUCUUCCCCUCUUCCCUUUGUCCCUUCUCUUCCCAUUCCCCUACCUCUUCCCUCCACGCGCUUAUGGCCGGCCUUUACUCCUCUCCUCUUCUCCUCUCCUUCUCUCAUUAAACCUUUCCAUGUAGAACCAUGUUGACCCAUUGUGGUUUGUCCAGACGUGAGCCAAGAUUUCUACCCCAACAGCUUGUCCCAGGAUAGAAACAAGAAACACAAAACAUACAAGACUUGGGCAUACCUGGAGGAUAGAGAGAGGAGGUGCAGUCCAUGGAUCUUACCUCCUCCUUAAACAGCUGUGGAAAUGCCUUCAUAGACUUACCAAGGAGAUGUCUCCUAGUCAUUCUAAAUCCAGUCAACUUGACAAUGAAUAGCGAAUGUCACCAUUCCUGAGACAAGAGAUGAGCAAGAGAAUAAAGUUUGAGCAGCAGGAACUUGAA